CGCGUGUAUGAAGAAGGCCUUCGGGUUGUAAAGUACUUUCAGUUGUGAGGAAGGGGGUAACGUUAAUAGCGUUUUCUCUUGACGUUAGCAACAGAAGAAGCACCGGCUAACUCCGUGCCAGCAGCCGCGGUAAUACGGAGGGUGCGAGCGUUAAUCGGAAUUACUGGGCGUAAAGCGCAUGCAGGUGGUUCAUUAAGUCUGAUGUGAAAGCCCGGGGCUCAACCUCGGAACUGCAUUUGAAACUGGUGAACUAGAGUGCUGUAGAGGGGGGUAGAAUUUCAGGUGUAGCGGUGAAAUGCGUAUAGAUCUGAAGGAAUACCACUGGCGAAGGCGGCCCCCUGUACACACACUGACACUCACAUGCGAAAGCGUGGGGAGCAAACACGAUUAUAUACCCUGAUAGACCACGCCGUAAACGAUGUCUACUUGGAGGUUGUGGCCUUGUGCCGUGGCUUUCGG
rnacentral:rRNA from 1 species